AUUGAACGCUGGCGGCAUGCCUUACACAUGCAAGUCGAACGGCAGCGGACCUUCGGGUGCCGGCGAGUGGCGAACGGGUGAGUAAUAUAUCGGAACGUACCUUUCAGUGGGGGAUAACGUAGCGAAAGUUACGCUAAUACCGCAUAUUCUGUGAGCAGGAAAGCAGGGGAUCGCAAGACCUUGCGCUGAUUGAGCGGCCGAUAUCAGAUUAGCUAGUUGGUGAGGUAAAGGCUCACCAAGGCGACGAUCUGUAGCGGGUCUGAGAGGAUGAUCCGCCACACUGGAACUGAGACACGGUCCAGACUCCUACGGGAGGCAGCAGUGGGGGAAUUUUGGACAAUGGGCGCAAGCCUGAUCCAGCCAUGCCGCGUGAGUGAAGAAGGCCUUCGGUUGGUAAGUACUCUUUCGGUCCGGGAACGAAAGUACGCACAGGUUAAU
rnacentral:rRNA from 1 species